rnacentral:tRNA from 1 species
UGACUCAGUUGGUAGAGCAUGGCGCUUGCAACGCCAGGGUUGUGGGUUCGAUUGCCAC